CGUACGGGUGAGUAACACGUGGAUGAUCUGCCCUAGAGUGUGGAAUAACGAUGGGAAACCGUCGCUAAUACCGCAUAAUCCCGAGAGGGGAAAGCAGCAAUGCGCUCAAGGAGGAGUCCGCGGCCGAUUAGCUUGUUGGUAGGGUAAUGGCCUACCAAGGCUUCGAUCGGUAGCCGGCCUGAGAGGGCACACGGCCACACUGGCACUGAAACACGGGCCAG
rnacentral:rRNA from 1 species